rnacentral:rRNA from 1 species
UACAGAGGGUGCGAGCGUUAAUCGGAAUUACUGGGCGUAAAGCGUGCGUAGACGGCUAUCUAAGUCGGGUGUGAAAGCCCCGGGCUCAACCUGGGAAUUGCAUUCGAGACUGAAUAGCUAGGGUACGGUAGAGGGAAGUGGAAUUUCCGGUGUAGCGGUGAAAUGCGUAGAUAUCGGAAGGAACAUCAGUGGCGAAAGCGCUCUACUGGACCGCAACUGACACUCAGGGACGAAAGCUAGGGGAGCGAAUGGG